UACGAAGGGGGCUAGCGUUGUUCGGAAUUACUGGGCGUAAAGCGUGCGCAGGCGGCUUCUCAAGUCAGGGGUGAAAGCCCAGAGCUCAACUCUGGAAUUGCCUUUGAGACUGAGUGGCUUGAGUACGAGAGAGGUGAGUGGAAUUCCCAGUGUAGAGGUGAAAUUCGUAGAUAUUGGGAAGAACACCGGUGGCGAAGGCGGCUCACUUGCUCGUAACUGACGCUCAUGCACGACAGCGUGGGGAUCAAACAGG
rnacentral:rRNA from 1 species